rnacentral:guide_RNA from 1 species
AUAUAUUAAAAUUACAACAGAAGGUGCGUGUAAAUAGAUUUGUAUAUGGAUUU